rnacentral:rRNA from 1 species
CCGGUUGAUCCUGCCGGACCUUACUGCUAUCGGGGUGGGACUAAGACAUGCGAGUCGAGCGUCUCUAGCUAUGUUGAGACGCGGCAGACGGCUCAGUAACACGUGGCUAACCUACCCUCAGGACGAGGACAAACCCGGGAAACUGGGGCUAAUACUCGAUAGGUGAGGAUGUCUGGAAUGAUUUCUCACUCAAAGGGCCUUGGAAACAUGCUUCCAUUGUCGCCUGGGGAUGGGGCCGCGUCCGAUCAGGUUGUUGGUGAGGUAACGGCUCACCAAGCCUUUAACCGGUACGGGCCGUGAGAGCGGUAGCCCGGAGAUGGGUACUGAGACAAGGACCCAGGCCCUACGGGGCGCAGCAGUCGCGAAAACUCCGCAAUGCACGAAAGUGUGACGGGGCUACCCCGAGUGCCAUCCGCUGAGGAUGGCUUUUCUCUGGUAUAACUAGCCGGGGGAAUAAGGAGAGGGCAAGACUGGUGUCAGCCGCCGCGGUAAUACCAGCUCUCCGAGUGGUAGGGAUGAUUAUUGGGCCUAAAGCGUCCGUAGCCGGCUUAGCAAGUCUCCCGUUAAAUUCAGCGACCUAAUCGUUGAGCCGCGGGAGAUACUACUAGGCUAGGAGGCGGGAGAGGUCGACGGUACUUCUGGGGUAGGGGUGAAAUCCUAUAAUCCCGGGAGGACCACCAGUGGCGAAGGCUGUCGACUAGAACGCGCUCGACGGUGAGGGACGAAAGCUGGGGGAGCGAACCGGAUUAGAUACCCGGGUAGUCCCAGCCGUAAACGAUGCGGGCUAGGUGUUGGGAUGGCUACGUGCCAUUUCAGUGCCGCAGGGAAGCCAUUAAGCCCGCCGCCUGGGGAGUACGGCCGCAAGGCUGAAACUUAAAGGAAUUGGCGGGGGAGCACCACAAGGCGUGAAGCUUGCGGCUUAAUUGGAGUCAACGCCGG